AGCGGGUGUAAGCCACCGGUAGACAGACGGGUUCAUACCCCGCCAGAACGCGGUUCGAUUCCGCGCCCCGCUACCA
rnacentral:tRNA from 1 species